rnacentral:rRNA from 1 species
UACGUAGGGCGCAAGCGUUGUCCGGAAUUAUUGGGCGUAAAGAGCUCGUAGGCGGUUUGUCGCGUCUGCUGUGAAAACCUGAGGCUCAACCUCGGGCUUGCAGUGGGUACGGGCAGACUAGAGUGCGGUAGGGGUGACUGGAAUUCCUGGUGUAGCGGUGGAAUGCGCAGAUAUCAGGAGGAACACCGAUGGCGAAAGGCAGGUCACUGGGCCGCAACUGACGCUGGAGGAGCGAAAGCAUGGGGAGCGAACAGG